UACGGAGGGUGCGAGCGUUGUCCGGAAUCACUGGGCGUAAAGGGCGCGUAGGCGGCCUGGCAAGUCGGUGGUGAAAGCCCGUGGCUCAACUACGGGUCGGCCACCGAUACUGCUAUGGCUCGAGUUUGGUAGAGGCAGAUGGAAUUCCGGGUGUAGCGGUGGAAUGCGUAGAGAUCCGGGAAGAACACCGGUGGCGAAGGCGGUCUGCUGGGCCAAGACUGACGCUGAGGCGCGACAGCGUGGGGAGCAAACAGG
rnacentral:rRNA from 1 species